UACAGAGGUCCCAAGCGUUGUUCGGAUUCACUGGGCGUAAAGGGUGCGUAGGUGGCCAGGUAAGUUUGGUGUGAAAGCUCGGAGCUUAACUCCGAAAAGUCAUUGAAUACUAUCUGGCUGGAGGGUCGGAGGGGAGACUGGAAUUCUCGGUGUAGCAGUGAAAUGCGUAGAUAUCGAGAGGAACACCAGUGGCGAAGGCGAGUCUCUGGACGACACCUGACACUGAGGCACGAAAGCCAGGGGAGCGAACGGG
rnacentral:rRNA from 1 species